GUGGGGAAUAUUGGACAAUGGGCGAAAGCCUGAUCCAGCCAUGCCGCGUGUGUGAAGAAGGUCUUCGGAUUGUAAAGCACUUUAAGUUGGGAGGAAGGGCAGUAAGUUAAUACCUUGCUGUUUUGACGUUACCGACAGAAUAAGCACCGGCUAACUUCGUGCCAGCAGCCGCGGUAAUACGAAGGGUGCAAGCGUUAAUCGGAAUUACUGGGCGUAAAGCGCGCGUAGGUGGUUUUGUAAGUUGAAGGUGAAAUCCCCGGGCUCAACCUGGGAACUGCCUCCAAAACUGCAUGACUAGAGUACGGUAGAUGGUAGUGGAAUUUCCUGUGUAGCGGUGAAAUGCAUAGAUAUAGGAAGGAACACCAGUGGCGAAGGCGACUACCUGGACUGAUACUGACACUGAGGUGCGAAAGCGUGGGGAGCAAACAGGAUUAGAAACCCCUGUAGUCC
rnacentral:rRNA from 1 species